rnacentral:rRNA from 1 species
AGCAGUAGCCGCGGUAAUACGUAGAGUGCAAGCGUUAAUCGGAAUUACUGGGCGUAAAGCGUGCGCAGGCGGUUAUAUAAGACAGAUGUGAAAUCCCCGGGCUCAACCUGGGAACUGCAUUUGUGACUGUAUAGCUAGAGUACGGCAGAGGGGGAUGGAAUUCCGCGUGUAGCAGUGAAAUGCGUAGAUAUGCGGAGGAACACCGAUGGCGAAGGCAAUCCCCUGGGCCUGUACUGACGCUCAUGCACGAAAGCGUGGGGAGCAAACAGGAUUAGAUACCCCAGUAGUCCCUGUCUCUUAUAC